rnacentral:rRNA from 4 species
CCGUUCGCGGAGGAGGACGCCGAAGGCAGGGCUGGUGACUGGGGUGAAGUCGUAACAAGGUAGCCGUACCGGAAGGUGUGGCUGGAUCACCUCCUUUA